UCUAUCAAUCUGGCCAUCAGGCCCUACCUUGACUGUAUAAACCCAUCGAUAGCCAACAGUAGAUUUGCCCUUCGAUAGUGGCACCAAAUCCCAAGUGUCAUUGUUAUGGAGAGCAGUUAUCUCUUCAACCGUUGCAUUACACCAUACUGGAUGUUCCAAAGCUUCUCUAGCAGUCUUAGGUAUAGAUACAUUAGACAAAGUGGUGAC
rnacentral:misc_RNA from 1 species